GUGUGUGCACGUAAGUAUCGCCCAAACUCUAUAAAUUACAUUACUUCAGCUUUGUGGACUUGGGCGUGUGUAACGGGAAGGGAAGGGAAGGGUGGGGAAGGGAAGAAAAGGGAAGGAGCUGGGUGGGAAAGGAAGGAAAGGUAAGGAGAGUGUUGGAAGGGAGAGAAAAGAAGGGUAAGGAAAGGGUAAGGAAGGGAUGGGAAGGAAAGGUAAGGAGCUGGGAGGGAAAGGAAGGAAAGGUAAAGAGAGUGUUGGAAGGGAGAGAAAAGAUGGGUAAGGAGAGAGUAAGGAAGGGACGGGAAGGAAAAGGAAAGAAAAUGGAGGGGAAGAGAAAAGAGGAGUAAAUGUUUGCUAAAGUUUGGUAAGAUUAAGUUAAGGCAAGGUAAGAUAAUGUAAGGUAAGGUAAGGAAAGAGAAGAAAAGGCAAGGUAAGGAAAGAUAACGUAAGGUAAGGUAAGGAAAGAGAAGAAAAGGCAAGGUAAGGUAAGAUAACGUAAGGUAAGGUAAGGAAAGAGAAGAAAAGGCAAGUUAAAAAAGAAGGAAAGGUUGGUCAGGAUGUGCGAAGGGUCAAGUCAAUCGGCAAGCCAAUAAAUCAAGCCCUGGCACAUUAAGGCGAGGUAAGGUAAGGUAAGGUAAAGUAAGGCAACAUGAAAAGCAAGUAAAGGUAGGUCAGUAAGGAAAGGACGAGACAAGGACGUUCUAGAAAUGAGAAAGGAUGGGCAAGGAAAGAGGAAUAAUGAAAAAAAGGUCGGAAAGGAAAGGGAGGUAAUGAAAAAGACUGGAAAAGAAAAGGGAAUAAUGAAAGAGGGUGGGAAAGGAAAGGUAAGGUCAGUAAGUGCGAAGGGAUAGUGAGUCAAGCCAAGUCAAGCCCAGACACAUAGGGCGAGGUAAGAGAAGGUAAAUUAAGGUAAGGCAAGAUGAAAAGGAAGUAAAGGUAGGUCAGUAAGUGCGAAGGGAUAGCGAGUCAAGCCAAGUCAAACUCAGGUACACAAGGCGAGGUAAGGUAGAGGAGGGAAGGGAACAAUAAACUCGAGCUAUUCCGGGCGUGUAAAAAGUUUGCACGCCAUCACAUUGAACGCAGCGAUCGCUUUCUUCGGCGCGGCUCGCUAUCAUUACGAGGCCAACCCCUUGCAUUACCCCGCCACUCGAAGACCUCAUCACGCCGACGCUUUUUGCUCCCUGACUUAUUAGCAUUCCGGGCCCGACACCUCCUUGCCCUGCCCUGCCAUGCCCGCCUCUCGUCUGCAAUGCUCGCUUCUUCUUUCUCCUAUCCUUCGUUCCUUUCCUUCGUUAUCUUUUUUUAGGUUCUUCUCUCUCUCUCUCUCUCUCUCUCUCUCUCUCUCUCUCUCUCUCUCUCUCUCUCUCUCUCUCUCUCUCUCUCUCUCAUUUCCUUUCUUUCUCCUUUACUCAAUAUUAUUUUCUCCUCUCCUAUCCUCCGUUCCUUCCUUCCCCUUUUUUUGAUUCUUUCUCUUCUGCUUCUGCUUCUUCCAUUCCCACCAAUUCUCCUUCUCUCUCUAAUCUUGCAGUGUCUUUCUCUCCCUCGUUCUCCAAUUCCCUUUCCUUUCCUUUCCUCUUUCUUUUCCGGAACCUUUCUCUAUAAUCUUGUACUUCUGUCUUUCUCUCCUAUUUCCUUCCUCUCUCUCUCUCUCUCUCUCUCUCUCUCUCUCUCUCUCUCUCUCUCUCU